UACAGGGGGGGCAAGCGUUGUUCGGAUUUACUGGGCGUAAAGGGCGCGUAGGCGGCCACCGCGAGUCGACUGUGAAAUCUCCGGGCUUAACCCGGAAAGGUCAGCCGAUACUGCGGGGCUAGAGUGCAGAAGGGGCAACUGGAAUUCUCGGUGUAGCGGUGAAAUGCGUAGAUAUCGAGAGGAACACCUGCGGCGAAGGCGGGUUGCUGGGCUGACACUGACGCUGAGGCGCGAAAGCUAGGGGAGCGAACGGG
rnacentral:rRNA from 1 species